rnacentral:rRNA from 1 species
UACGGAGGUGGCAAGCGUUGCUCGGAAUCACUGGGCGUAAAGGGCGCGUAGGCGGGGUGGUAAGUCGGGUGUGAAAUCCCUCGGCCCAACCGAGGAACUGCGCCCGAGACUGUUUCUCUUGAGUCCCGGAGAGGAAGGUGGAAUUCCCGGUGUAGCGGUGAAAUGUGUAGAGAUCGGGAGGAACACCGGUGGCGAAGGCGGCCUUCUGGACGGUGACUGACGCUGAGGCGCGAAAGCGUGGGGAGCAAACGGG